rnacentral:rRNA from 1 species
ACACUUGCUGUGAACUCGAAGAGUAGGGCGGGACACGUGGUAUCCUGUCUGAAUAUGGGGGGACCAUCCUCCAAGGCUAAAUACUCCUGACUGACCGAUAGUGAACCAGUACCGUGAGGGAAAGGCGAAAAGAACCCCGGCGAGGGGAGUGAAAAAGAACCUGAAACCGUGUACGUACAAGCAGUGGGAGCCUCUUUAUGGGGUGACUGCGUACCUUUUGUAUAAUGGGUCAGCGACUUAUAUUCUGUAGCAAGGUUAACCGUAUAGGGGAGCCGAAGGGAAACCGAGUCUUAACUGGGCGUUAAGUUGCAGGGUAUAGACCCGAAACCCGGUGAUCUAGCCAUGGGCAGGUUGAAGGUUGGGUAACACUAACUGGAGGACCGAACCGACUAAUGUUGAAAAAUUAGCGGAUGACCUGUGGCUGGGGGUGAAAGGCCAAUCAAACCGGGAGAUAGCUGGUUCUCCCCGAAAGCU